UACGUAGGGGGCAAGCGUUGUCCGGAUUUACUGGGCGUAAAGAGCGUGUAGGCGGCCAAGCAGGUCCGUUGUGAAAACUGGAGGCUUAACCUCCAGACGUCGACGGAAACCGCGUGGCUAGAGUCCGGAAGAGGAGAGUGGAAUUCCUGGUGUAGCAGUGAAAUGCGCAGAUAUCAGGAAGAACACCAAUGGCGAAGGCAGCUCUCUGGGACGGUACUGACGCUGAGACGCGAAAGCGUGGGGAGCGAACAGG
rnacentral:rRNA from 1 species